CUACGGGCGGCUCCAGUAGGGAAUCUUAGGCAAUGGGGGAAACCCUGAUCUAGCCAUGCCGCGUGAGUGAUGAAGGCCUUAGGGUUGUAAAGCUCUUUCGCUGGGGAAGAUAAUGACGGUACCCAGUAAAGAAACCCCGGCUAACUCCGUGCCAGCAGCCGCGGUAAUACGGAGGGGGUUAGCGUUGUUCGGAAUUACUGGGCGUAAAGCGCGCGUAGGCGGGCUAUUAAGUCAGGGGUGAAAUCCCGGGGCUCAGCCCCGGAACUGCCUUUGAUACUGGUAGUCUUGAGUUCGAGAGAGGUGAGUGGAAUUCCGAGUGUAGAGGUGAAAUUCGUAGAUAUUCGGAGGAACAUCAGUGGCGAAGGCGACUCACUGGCUCGAUACUGACGCUGAGGUGCGAAAGUGUGGGGAGCAAACAGGAUUAGAUACCCCGGUAGUC
rnacentral:rRNA from 1 species